CCGAUGGUCUCUAUCACCUGACCUCGUGAUCCGCCCGCCUCGGCCUCCCAAAGUGCUGGGAUUACAGGCAUGAGCCACCACGCCCGGCUAUCAUUCCACCAUUCAUUCUAACAAUUGAGUCUCAACUACAUGCUAGGCACUCUUUAGGAUUCAAUAAGGAUUAGGUGGUGAACAACACAGAGCCCUCAUGAAUCUUACCUCCUGGUAUCCAGGUUAAAAUACUUUCUGUUCUUGGGCAAAGAGAAUUAGAAACAAAUACCCUUAACCUGACUCCCUUGUUCUUGAGCCCAGGACCAAGAAAGAAGAAGCUGUACAAUCCAGAAGCAGGGCUUGAGAUCACCUCCAACCUGCCAAGCAGAUAAGUUCUGGGUAUGCCAACUUGGGAGGCAGAGGUUGAAACCUCAUAGGAGAAACUUCGGAGCUCAUAGAAGGCCCAGGCAUUGUCAGAGGCCUUGAGUUCCAAAACCAUGCCAGUAUUUCUCCCUUCUGACAGGCUGGUUAGAAAGAAACUAAAUGGGAGCAUUUUUCUCUGACAGUGGGGCAGAGGGACGAGAGAUGACAGCCCAGGCAGAAGCAGAGACAUUGCCGCUGGAGUCAAGAGAGGGCAAACCAGAAGGCCCAGCUUUGGGUCUGACUCCAAGACGACUGGCUGGGAGGAAAACUUAACAGGCAAAACAGGCUUCUGAGGCACAGUGGAAUAGUGAGACUUCGGCAUUGCUGCACUGGUGACAUCCCCUACAGAAGAGGCUCCUCAGCUGUAUAUAUGGCCAAAAUAAAGAUCACACCACCUAAAGGGAAAGUGCUGGGCAAACCAGAGAUGGAGAUGGCAAAGCAGGAACAGAAAUGCUGCCACAUUGAACAGGAAGCAGGACAGCUUGACUAGGCCAGAGUUCUCUUGCUUCAGGGAACCUGCUCAAGUUUCAGGAAUUCAUACCCACCCCCUUCACCUAGGAUCCCUGCUACAGUGAGUGAGUAUUCUGUGCAAAGUGCUGAAGACGGCCAGCACUACUCUCAGCCACUUUCUUACAGCAAAGUUGGGGAAAAUAGAAUAGCAAAAACAAAACUCAUACUUUUCUGUGUGUCUGAAGUUCUCCAGAAGGUUUCCAAAUGGAAUCUUCUCACAGCCACCCUGUGAAGCAGCCAGGGUAGUGACCUUAUGGAUGAGUGACAGCCUGUUCAAAGAAUGACCUGCCUGUGUCCCAGGAUGCAGAUUUAUGGCUGGGUUUGGAUUAAUUUCUUUAUUUGAUUUCCAGUUUUCUUUCCCACUGUCAGUAUUCCCCCGUUCUUAUUUUAUCAGCUGGAUUUGCAGAGAGAUCUACUAUCAAUCAAAAGGGCUGCCUAUAGACAGCUCCAUGAAUUGCCUUUACUCUGAUACUCUCAUUAGGUUUAGAGAUUUCACUGGAAGGAUAGCAGAAGGAAAUGGACUGUGGUCUGAUAUCAAAAGUACUGUCCAGUGAUAGCUGAAAUCACACACAUUUUACUCAUUUAACAAUGUCAGAGUUUGCCAUCAGCACCUCAGAGGAGCAAAGCUUGGCUCAUAAAGUUGAGUGAGUUACUGAGCCUGCCGCAUUGGCCUACUUGCCACCUCCAGAGGUAUCUGAAGUCAGCACUGCAGGUUCUGUGAACAUUUGGGAAGCUGUGCCUCUUAGCCUUCUGGGCCCCUACAGUUGAAUUGCUCUCCUAUCUGGUACUGAGGGACCAGCAGUCUUCCUACCCUGCCUCUGCCGUUACCACCAAUCCACUUUCUAAUAAGGACUGCAGAUUUAUCUUUCUUAGCCCUGCCUUAACUGGUCUUCCCAGCUCAGACUUCCUUACUCAGUCCAUCGUCUCAGGAUUUUCUUCUGUGGUCUUUUUCAAACUACUAGCUGACUUUUCCCUUUUAUUUCCCACUAGGAACCCCCCUACCCGCUGCAAUUCAUCAAAUCAAACUGACUGCCCUCUUUCAUGCCCCUUCCCUAGUGCCCCAACACAAGCCUGUGCAUAAGCUUGAACAUUUCUACCUUUGCCAAUGGUAUUUCCCCUUCAGGCUUACCCUGCUUCCUCCUUCUCAGACUUUUCCAGUCUUGAUUGUCCUCUCUGUAAACACAAGAAUGAAUUUCAAGACAAGUUACUUAAUGGCUUAGAGCCUGUUUCCCUAUCCAUAAAAUGGGGCUAUAAAUUCCUCAGGAUGGGAUGAGGGUACAAA